GUCCACAUCUCAGCUGCUCCCCAGCUGCCGCAGCAGCCCGGCCAUCCAGAAUCCACUUCCAUUUUAAUGACUUGGCUCCUCUGGGCCUGCAAACAGGAGGCUGGUCCAGGGACCUGGCCUGGGGAUAGGAGUGGCGGCUCUGACAGGGCCGUGGGGCAGUCUCCGAUGAGCNNNNNNNNNNNNNNNNNNNNNNNNNNNNNNNNNNNNNNNNNNNNNNNNNNNNNNNNNNNNNNNNNNNNNNNNNNNNNNNNNNNNNNNNNNNGCUGGGAAGUCAGAGGCAACUCCACCUCCAGGCUUUCCCACUCCAUCCCCAUCGCACAUGCAACCUCACCUUAUACACCACGGUGGCCAUGAACUGGGGGUAUGGCUGCUGGUUGGACAGAAACUCUCCGAUGACUUUGUUCAUGAUGUCCUGGGGUGGGAAGAAGUCGUCUAGAAACUGGGGCAGGAUCCUGGCCACCACUCUGGCUUCACAAGGAAAGCCUUUCCUGAUCCUGGGAGGAGGGACACAGGUCAGAGACUGGCACCAGCUCCCACAGCUGCCCCACUUGCCUGCGGAGGGCCUUGGCUCUAAUACUGGGGAAAAUGCCGACGUGAAAUCAGGGCUGGGAGGGACCCUCGGCCGUGAGGGACUUUCCAAGUGGGGAAAGUCAGAGCCUAAGCAACUGGAGUAUGAAUUUUGAGACUAAAAAGGCAAAACCCCAGCCCUUCCUCUGUCCAGCUCGUGGAGACAGGCUGCUCGGCACAGGCCCUGGGCUCCCACGCCCUGUAGGGACCAGAAAUCCUAAGAGGAUUUUGAAAGCUACGUAAAGGAAUAUGCAGAAACGGCGCAGCGGGAAGGACGUUACAAAAGAGAUUUUUAAAAAUCAUAACAAAAGAACCCGUCCCCAUUAUGUUUUUGCUGCUAUCCACAUGCAAAUGCUCCACAAACAUCCCUAUGUGUUCUAACGCUUCGUAGCACUGUUGUCAACCAGAACUUUUUUCUUGUUACCACACAGGGCCCCAUCUGUGCUCUCGCUGCUUCUUCCCUCACCAGAUCCUGAAACACGCCCCCUGAGCAGUAUCCUUUUCAGUGCUGAAAAGCAACCAUCAUGUUCCCGUCUCAUCAGUGCACACAUGCCAGCCAUGUGUAACUGAGACACACGGGAAGCAGCUACGAAAAUGGCAGUGCACUUCCUCACAGGUGCUCCUGGCUCUACCCGCCCGCAGACCCUCACCCAGCAGUGGCAUGGCAGCCGCUCUGAAGACACUGCUCCACAGAGAGAAAUCUGUGGUCAGCUCCGAGGUGCCUCCCUGUGGCGUCUGGAGAGCAGUCAAGCGGAAGGCGUGCACCACACUCUCUGGAGCACUCGCCACCUAGCAUUGGGCCCACUAGACCACAAGCCCCUUGAAGGCCAGGACUGGUCGUGGCGCCUCCCUGUGCCCAUCUGCCAGUCGCAGUGGUGCUCAGUGAGCAUGUGGGGACGGAAGAAUGAUGCAGAGGUGCAUUUAAAAAUCGACAUGGGGGCCGGGCGCAGUGGCUCACGCCUGCAAUCCCAGCACUUUGGGAGGCCAAGGAGGGUGGAUCACUUGAGUUCAGGAGUUCGAGACCAGCCCAGCUAACACGGUGAAACCCCAUCUCUACUAAAAACACAAAAAUUAGCUGGGCGUGGUGGUGCGUGCCUGUAAUCCCAGCUACUAGGGAGGCUGAGGCAGGAGAAUCACUUGAACCCGGGAGGCGGAGGUUGCAGUGAGCCGAGGUCACGCCAUUGCACUCCAGCCUGGGUGACAAGGGAAAAACUCCGUCUCAAAAAGGAAAGAAAAAAAAAAUCAACAUGAAAACAGACCAGCACAGGCUUGGCUGUUCAGAACACCUCAUCUGGUCAAACAGUGGAGCAAGGUCCACCUGAGUAUGUUCUUGAGAAAAGCCAAAUGGCUCCCCACUGGCCACCCUGAUUGGAGAGCACAGGCAAGGCAGUGCAACAAGGCUCCAGAUCCACCAUGUCUCCAGGACUGAGGCCUGAGAGCAAAUCAAGGGCCCUUGUCCUUGAGAAAAAGCCCUACCAAGCUCCUAACCCACUUCUGGAGCAGGUGAGCGAAGCCAAUUCUAAACACAAAUGCACGCACAGCAGUGGGGGGUGGUGGGGGGCAGAAGCCACUGACCACAUGGGUCUCAAAGAUGCAUGUGUGGGUUCCACCUUCAUCCUCCUGCUGCUGCUCCUCACCCUGCUCACAGGCACCACGGCCCCCUCCCAUGGCCCCGUGGGCUCCCCUCUCACGAUAGGCAGCCAGGCUGAGCCAGCUCCUCCUCACUGUACAGGCUUCUGCCCCACCCUCCCAGAGGCUGGUCAUUCCUGCCCCCUGCCACACCCUCAACUGCCAGGUACUGUCCCUGAGCCCUCAGGAG
rnacentral:lncRNA from 1 species